AAGUCGUAACAAGGUUUCCGUAGGUGAACCUGCGGAAGGAUCAUUACAAUACUUUUACAAGUAUCAACCCCAAAUUGUUGAACUGAAUGAUGCGUCCGAUAGGAAGAAUGCAUAUUCAAAUGUGGUUGGAGAGACUGGCGGCUUUGAAAUGGCAACGUUUCGGUCAGUUCUCGAUUUUGCUGUUCGCAAGAGCAGUGAAAGCCCCAUUUUUCCUAGUUCGCGUAUUUUCUAUUUUUAUGACUUUAACCCUUUUCACCAAAUUACAAUUUAAACAAUCAUUGAACUGAAUUCGAAGGAUGCUGAAAAGUGUCUAUUUCGAUUCUAUUGUUUACGAAACGUAAGAACAACUCUUAACAACGGAUAUCUUGGCUCUC
rnacentral:misc_RNA from 1 species